UGAAAAACACGAACGAGGCGAGGCGAGUCAUUUUCGGGGUUUGCCUGCCGCGCAAGAGCUGCAAAAAUUUAGUUAAUUUUUCCUGCAACAGCGAAAAACGGCCAGGGUUAAAGCAGCUGAACAUUAGUUCUCGGAAAUUUGGAAAAUUUGGCAAAGUAGGCGAUUCUUGUGCGCGUAUACGCUACUUGUGCAUCGUUUUCAGGGGUGAAAACGUUCAUAGUGUUAUUAUUUUCAUAUGUGUUAAGCUGUCCGCUUAACUUGUCGUCAAUUCUCGGUGAAAUCGUCUGGUGUAAAGUAGUUAAUUGAAAGCAAACCAAACAUUCGUACAAGCUGGGACCACCAAGUUCCGAUUCUUCUGCAGUGUGUGGUCAAAAUCAGUCGAGUUCCCUUUUCCGGAGCUCAUAUUACACGCGCAGUCUCCUCUCGUGAGGAAGAUUGUAGUCGUCAGGUGCCAUUUCAAGUCAAUGGUUGCUGCAAGCGAAGUGAAAAUUCGGUGAAAUUUUUAGGGGAAUUUUCUUGCGUUCCAAGAAGCAUUGCCAAGAAGAGGUUCUUGCACCGGAAAGAAGCAACCACUUUGAUAGUUUGCAGCCAGCGAUAGCUAUCUUAUCACAAUGGAUAAAAGGAAAUUAUCUACGUCGGGAGAUACACUCUACCAAACAUUGGGUCUACAGAAGACAGCAACAGCAGAUGAGAUCAAGAAGACAUACCGAAAACUCGCCCUAAAAUACCAUCCGGAUAAGAAUCCCAACAAUCCAGAUGCGGCAGAAAAGUUCAAAGAAGUAAAUCGUGCUCAUUCCAUACUGAGUGAUUUGACAAAGCGAAACAUCUACGACAACUAUGGAUCGCUCGGAUUGUACAUUGCUGAACAGUUUGGCGAAGAGAACGUUAAUGCGUACUUCGUCGUUACGUCGCCUACGUGCAAGGCAUUGUUUAUGAUUUGUGGUAUUAUCACCGGAUGUUAUUGCUGCUGCUGUUGUUGCUGUUGCUGUAACUUCUGUUUUGGCAAAUACAAACCAGUUCCGCCCGAGAAUGGUGGAGACUAUCAUCAUCUACACAGAGAUGGUGCCGCAAGUAGUAGCAACGCGCGGGAAGGAACGGCCGUCACAGAACAGCCAACGCGAAGAGAAGAUUUGGCAGAUCUGGAAGAUAACGGUGGUGGCAGUGGUCCGGUAACAUCACAACCGCAAGCUGGACAAGGACAGGGUGCCGGCAUGCCAGUUUAUGCCAUGCCACCACCAUCGUCCAAUCCGACGAAUCCGUUCACCGGAAACGCCACUGAAAGCACGGGGCUGAACACGGGCAAUCAACCAAUCUACACGCCAGGCCACUAAAAAGCAUUACGUUUUGGAAUUCGAUACCCAGCUUCUGCUAUAAACGUUAAAAAACAAUAAGCAUAUGAUUUGCUCCAAUUUUGAAGUUAUCCUACGUUUCCGUUAUUUUCGAAUCACCUAUGCAACACCAUGCGCAUCUACAAUAUUGUACUUUCACGUUGCAUUGCUUAUUGCGUAUCUUUAGUUUGGAGAAAAUGUAGAAGUGUUCCAUUCGCGUGAAAUGGCACAAUGCGAAAAUAUAGAUGAAUUCCCUAGUGGCGAUGUAUGAAGUGAGCGCAUUAAUCAUCGCCAUUAAUAACACUGGUCGGUUCGAAGGAAAAGUUAUUUGUACGGUUGGUGGAAGGCGUAAAGGCGAGCUCGGUCAUAUGCGCAACUCCUACCAGCCCUAUUUCUUUUGUGCAUCGAAUAGCACCGAACCAAAUCAAAAACCCAUAUACAAUAUACUGUAACAAUAACAAACUGUAAUAUUCAUCGACCGAAUCGAACCGCUAAGCAUCUCCCUGCAACGUUGGAGCGAACUGUGGAACCGCUCGUAAAGAAGCAGUCGAGCAAAAAAGUAUCUUUUUAGGGUAUAUUUAUGCGUUAAGUAAUGGCAAAAAAGAUAUGUACACCGGGCAUAAUCGGUACUGUACUUUGUAGUACGCAGUGAAGGGGAUGAAUGAAAGAUCGUGAAACUGUUGUGUAGUAGAAAAUCCUCUGUUUGUGUGUGUUUGUGUGCAUGUACGUGUUUUUAUCCUAGCGAGGCUAUUUCCUACGGAAUGCCUCCGAUUCAGAGUUGAAGAUAAGCAGAAGAAACAGAAUCAAAAGCAACCAUAUUACAAGCUAACAAUAGUUUACUCUUGCUGUUGCUGUUUGUAUCCGUAACGUAAAUACCUAAUUCACGCGAAGCAGAACAUCAUUUGAUGAUAUGCUCAAACGACAAUUGAUGAACAUUAAUACACACAACCCGCUACCAUUUAUCGCUCUUUUGAGAUCGUCCAUGAAUUAGCACAUACUUCCUGUUUGAAAUGGUUGCAGAAACAGAAACCUCUGUUUAAUGAAGAUUUAGGCUUAAAUAACAAGAAACAAAAAAAAAUAUUAAAAUCGAUCUAUAGCGGAGCUGAAACGAGAGCUAUACCAUUUAGCCGAACUUGGGAAACGUGUUUCCUCCUCAUUUAUUAAGUGUUACUAUUUCAAUUUUUGCAUAUACUACUUCAAUUUGGAAAGUGAGACCGUUAUGCAUACUAUGAUAAUAAGAAGCGCAAGGAAGCCACGAAGCGUGUGAGUUCAUUAUGUCCGGUGUCACUACACCGACGCUUGAGAUAAAAAACAUGAAGUAACAUAACUGCGCAAGUUAUUUUUGUGUGGUAGUGUGCAUGCCCUCUGGCUACGCAGCAGCAGAUGAAUAAGUGCAAGACGAAAAGCAAGGCGUUGCUAAAGACAAAGAGAAAGAUAGAGAUGAGGAAAGAAUAUAUCUAUAUACAUACAAAAUUCAUAAAUCUUAUAUCCAUUUAUCCCAAAUUUCCAACGCAUUUUGAAGCACGAACCUUAAAUAGGACGUUAUAAGCGGACGGAGAAACAUUGUUGGUGGUGUAGUAAGGUAGGCAAAAUGAGACAUGAACAAUGGAAAAAGAACGUUGGAAUGGACCAGUUAGAAUGGUUCUAAAUAAACGAGAAAAGCAUCAACAACGACGGGCGAUAUUAGCCACAGCUUUGAAGGACGAACUGCUAUGGACGAUGGAAUUAGGACGGAAACGUAAUUGACAACAACAAAUCAUAUGUUGUAAAAUAUAUUUAACGAUAGUGUUGUAACCAAUCAGCCAACCAGUAGGUAAACCGAUGGUUAUCGCGGGCGUAAGGACAUUACAAUAACCGUUACGGAACAAAAUAAAACUAAGACCUGAACGACGAAACAUUCAUUGCCACGUUAUGCAAAAUCCACAAUAA